AACGCACAUUGCACCCGCCAGCACUCUGGCGGGUAUGCCUGUUCGAGCGUCAUCUCAAACCUCAAGCCUAGCUUGCUGUUGGGGCGCCCUGGUACGCCGGGGCCCCCGAAUCGUAGUGGCGGAGCCGCCGUGGACUCUGAGCGCAGUACUUCAUGCACGCUUCUGGGCCCGGCGGCGCCUGCCGUAAAACCCACCGUAGCAAGGUUUGACCUCGGAUCAGGUAGGGAUACCCGCUGAACUUAA
rnacentral:misc_RNA from 1 species